UACGAAGGGGGCUAGCGUUGCUCGGAAUCACUGGGCGUAAAGGGUGCGUAGGCGGGUCUUUAAGUCAGGGGUGAAAUCCCAGGGCUCAACCCUGGAACUGCCUCUCAUACUGGCAAUCUCGAGUUCGAGAGAGGUGAGUGGAAUUGCGAGUGUAGAGGUGAAAUUCGUAGAUAUUCGCAGGAACACCAGUGGCGAAGGCGGCUCACUGGCUCGAUACUGACGCUGAGGUGCGAAAGCGUGGGGAGCAAACAGG
rnacentral:rRNA from 1 species